GUGUCAGCCGCCGCGGUAAUACGUAGGGGGCAAGCGUUAUCCGGAUUCAUUGGGCGUAAAGAGCGCGUAGGCGGAUUGUUAAGUCAGAUGUGAAAACUGGGGGCUCAACCCGCAGCCUGCAUCUGAAACUGGCAGUCUUGAGUCUGGUAGAGGAAAGUGGAAUUCCCAGUGUAGCGGUGAAAUGCGCAGAUAUUGGGAGGAACACCAGUGGCGAAGGCGGCUUUCUGGGCCACGACUGACGCUGAGGCGCGAAAGCUAGGGGAGCGAACAGGAUUAGAAACCCGCGUAGUCC
rnacentral:rRNA from 1 species